UGGUGGCGAUAGCGAGAAGGAUACACCUGUUCCCAUGCCGAACACAGAAGUUAAGCUUCUUAGCGCCGAUUGUAGUG
rnacentral:rRNA from 1 species